UCUAUCCUACAUCCGGCAUUGUGUUGUUUAAAGCCUCAGUCCUUCUCAAAUAGUAAUAUGAUUGUUUAUGCUCUCUUCCUAUUAGACUGUCCUGUGCAUUUACUCAAAGAACACUUUCCAUUUGUAAAAACCAUGGGAACGAGAAAAGCAAAAAAUGGAAUAAACAAACAAAGGUUUCGGUGGCAGCCUUGCUCUGGCUGUGGAGUAAAGUGGAAGGACACAUGGGAGCUUCAUUCGGAUGAAUAAAGUAAUGUUUUUUUUUUUCAAAAGCUUACUGCACUAAACCCAUAAAUGUAUGUUAACCAUUAAUAUUUUAUAUUGUUUUAUGUUUUUCUAUACAUACAUUUGAAAACAUUUAACUAUGUUGAUUGAUCUGUGUAUCUAUUGGCCAUGUACAGUUAUUUUUAUCUUGACUGCUCCCUCUUAUAGUAUUUGUUAAUUUGUCCCCCCCGCUCUGUUCUCUGUUACCCUUUUGUUUUCCUAUGUUUUGUCCUCUGUCUGUUUUCCUCCUCUGUGGUUCCCUGCAGGAAUCCUGACCCUUGACAUUUUGCCAGCCCUGUAUUGCCUGAGUCCUCUCAAACACUGACGAAGAAAUUGACAUUGUGGAGAGUUUUGAUGAUCUUUUGUUGUUCAAUAAACAUGAAUCUGCACACUGCAUGAGU